rnacentral:sRNA from 2 species
AUAAAUGCUUUCUAGGGUUCCGUUUAAAGUAUUAUACACUUUAAAGACUGGUCCAAGAGAGAGCGUACAGCAACUGCUGUAUACACGGAGGGAAAAAAGCCCGGGAGAA